rnacentral:rRNA from 1 species
AGUGAACGCUGGCGGUAGGCCUAACACAUGCAAGUCGAACGGCAGCACAGUAAGAGCUUGCUCUUACGGGUGGCGAGUGGCGGACGGGUGAGGAAUACAUCGGAAUCUACUUUUUCGUGGGGGAUAACGUAGGGAAACUUACGCUAAUACCGCAUACGACCUACGGGCGAAAGCAGGGGAUCUUCGGACCUUGCGCGAUUGAAUGAGCCGAUGUCGGAUUAGCUAGUUGGCGGGGUAAAGGCCCACCAAGGCUACGAUCCGUAGCUGGUCUGAGAGGAUGAUCAGCCACACUGGAACUGAGACACGGUCCAGACUCCUACGGGAGGCAGCAGUGGGGAAUAUUGGACAAUGGGCGCAAGCCUGAUCCAGCCAUACCGCGUGGGUGAAGAAGGCCUUCGGGUUGUAAAGCCCUUUUGUUGGGAAAGAAAAGCAGCAGGUUAAUACCCCGCUGUUCUGACGGUACCCAAAGAAUAAGCACCGGCUAACUUCGUG